rnacentral:rRNA from 1 species
UACGUAGGGUGCAAGCGUUAAUCGGAAUUACUGGGCGUAAAGCGUGCGCAGGCGGUUGUGUAAGACAGAUGUGAAAUCCCCGGGCUCAACCUGGGAACUGCAUUUGUGACUGCACAGCUGGAGUGCGGCAGAGGGGGAUGGAAUUCCGGCGUGUAGCAGUGAAAUGCGUAGAUAUGCGGAGGAACACCGAUGGCGAAGGCAUCCCCUGGGCCUGCACUGACGCUCAUGCACGAAAGCGUGGGGAGC